rnacentral:rRNA from 1 species
GGGGGGAGCAAGCGUUGUUCGGAUUUACUGGGCGUAAAGGGCGCGUAGGCGGUCAGCACAAGUCAGUUGUGAAAUCUCCGGGCUUAACUCGGAAAGGUCAACUGAUACUGUGCGACUAGAGUGCGGAAGGGGCAACUGGAAUUCUUGGUGUAGCGGUGAAAUGCGUAGAUAUCAAGAGGAACACCUGCGGCGAAGGCGGGUUGCUGGGCCGACACUGACGCUGAGGCGCGAAAGCCAGGGGAGCGAACGGGAUUAGAUACCCCGGUAGUCCUGGCCUUAAACGAUGAAUGCUUGGUGUCUGGGGUUAUAAAGUCCCCGGGUGCCGUCGCUAACGCUUUAAGCAUUCCGCCUGGGGAGUACGGUCGCAAGASGUG